GUUCCUGAUGAUGUUUGUUACGUUAAACCAUGCUAAUUCUGAAUACUUUUGAUUGAUAUCGAUUCGAUUUUUCGAAAUUCUCUGAAGGGACA